GCAAAGCUUUAUUUUGCACCAAGCAUCGAAAAUCAAACCAACCAGUAGGGGCUGUCUCUUACAAAGAGGGAACAACGACCAGGACACUGACCCUGACAACUUCCCUUACCCGACAACGAUUCCCUUACCCAACAACGAUUCCCCUACCCAACCACGAUGCUCCUGGCUGCAAUGCUUCCCAGCGAGACCGCUUCCAAAGAUCCCCAGGCUCCCCAUGACACUCUCCAACAAUGCUGGUCCCGACGACCCCAGGCUAUUACUACUCCUCCCCUGCCUCACAGACUAACCUUUAUAGAGGUGGUUGAUCCCAGCCCACACACAGGUGGCCAAUGAGAUUGCAACACACAGGGAAAACUGCCCAGUCACCCUCAUCAGCAAUAUGGUGGCCAAUUGAAUUCUAAUUCACCAUAGCAAAUAUGUGUGCGCCCCACUGAUUGGAUGUCUCCAUCCAGCUUGGCCUGCUCCUAUAUCCGGGGUUUGCAAGCAAGUUCGUCUGGGAGUGGCGGGGUCAAUCUUAAAUUUACAACCAAACGGCUCCCUCUGGCUAACCAAACCCCUACAGGGAAAGAGGAAUGUUAUCUUCACUCUGUAAUAUUGGCAAAUAUUUUCUGGAGAUGUGGAAGAGAUGUUUCUAUCUUUACUACCCUGAACCAUGUCUGGAGGACAGAUGUCUAUAAACUUUACUAUCUGGAAUAUCUCCUUGUUCAACUAUUCUCAAAUUAGAAAUGUGAAAUAUUCAUAGAUAAUUGUCUUCCUACAAGAACCAAACAAAAACUUUUUUAAAAAUCAGACUUUUAUAAAAAUGAUAAAUUUAUUAACUGCCUUCCCAACACUUAGUUUGGCAGAAAAUAUUUAUAAUCAAACACAUUGCAUAAAAAUAUCUGUAUU
rnacentral:lncRNA from 1 species